AAUUCUAAGGUGAGCGAGCGAACUCUCGUUAAGGAACUCGGCAAAAUGACCCCGUAACUUCGGGAGAAGGGGUGCUCUUUGAGGUUCACGCUUCGAAGAGCCGCAGUGAAUAGGCCCAAGCGACUGUUUAUCAAAAACACAGGUCUCUGCUAAACCGUAAGGUGACGUAUAGGGGCUGACGCCUGCCCGGUGCUGGAAGGUUAAGAGGAGUGGUUAGCGCAAGCGAAGCUACGAAUCGAAGCCCCAGUAAACGGCGGCCGUAACUAUAACGGUCCUAAGGUAGCGAAAUUCCUUGUCGGGUAAGUUCCGACCCGCACGAAAGGCGUAACGAUUUGGGCACUGUCUCAACGAGAGACUCGGUGAAAUCAUAGUACCGGUGAAGAUGCCGGUUACCCGCGACAGGACGGAAAGACCCCGUGGAGCUUUACUGUAGCCUGAUAUUGAAAUUCGGUACAGUUUGUACAGGAUAGGUAGGAGCCUUAGAAGCGUGAGCGCUAGCUUACGUGGAGGCAUUGGUGGGAUACUACCCUAAUUGUAUUGGAUUUCUAACCCGCAGCACUUAUCGUGCUGGGAGACAGUGUCAGGCGGGCAGUUUGACUGGGGCGGUCGCCUCCUAAAGAGUAACGGAGGCGCUCAAAGGUUCCCUCAGAAUGGUUGGAAAUCAUUCAUAGAGUGUAAAGGCAUAAGGGAGCUUGACUGCGAGACCUACAAGUCGAGCAGGGUCGAAAGACGGACUUAGUGAUCCGGUGGUUCCGCAUGGAAGGGCCAUCGCUCAACGGAUAAAAGCUACCCCGGGGAUAACAGGCUUAUCUCCCCCAAGAGUUCACAUCGACGGGGAGGUUUGGCACCUCGAUGUCGGCUCAUCGCAUCCUGGGGCUGUAGUCGGUCCCAAGGGUUGGGCUGUUCGCCCAUUAAAGCGGUACGCGAGCUGGGUUCAGAACGUCGUGAGACAGUUCGGUCCCUAUCCGUCGUGGGCGUAGGAAAUUUGAGAGGAGCUGUCCUUAGUACGAGAGGACCGGGAUGGACAUACCUCUGGUGUACCAGUUGUCGUGCCAACGGCAUAGCUGGGUAGCUAUGUAUGGACGGGAUAAGUGCUGAAAGCAUCUAAGCAUGAAGCCCCCCUCGAGAUGAGAUUUCCCAACUUCGGUUAUAAGAUCCCUCAAAGAUGAUGAGGUGAAU
rnacentral:rRNA from 1 species